rnacentral:rRNA from 1 species
CCUACGGGUGGCAGCAGUGGGGAAUAUUGGACAAUGGGCGAAAGCCUGAUCCAGCCAUGCCGCGUGUGUGAAGAAGGCCUUCGGGUUGUAAAGCACUUUCAGUGGGGAAGAAAGCCUUGGGGCUAAUACCCUCGAGGAAGGACAUCACCCACAGAAGAAGCACCGGCUAACUCCGUGCCAGCAGCCGCGGUAAUACGGAGGGUGCGAGCGUUAAUCGGAAUUACUGGGCGUAAAGCGCGCGUAGGCGGUCUGAUAAGCCGGUUGUGAAAGCCCCGGGCUCAACCUGGGAACGGCAUCCGGAACUGUCAGGCUAGAGGGCAGGAGAGGAAGGUAGAAUUCCCGGUGUAGCGGUGAAAUGCGUAGAGAUCGGGAGGAAUACCAGUGGCGAAGGCGGCCUUCUGGACUGACACUGACGCUGAGGUGCGAAAGCGUGGGUAGCAAACAGGAUUAGAACCCUAGUAGUC